rnacentral:rRNA from 1 species
CUAGCGACUUCAGAGUUUGAUCCUGGCUCAGGAUGAACGCUAGCGGCAGGCCUAACACAUGCAAGUCGAGGGGAUUAUAAAGUAAGCUUGCUUACUUUAUAUGAGACCGGCGCACGGGUGCGUAACGCGUAUGCAACCUACCACUAACAGGGGGAUAACACGGAGAAAUCGGUACUAAUACCCCAUAAUACUUCGAGAGGCAUCUUUUGAAGUUGAAAGCUCCGGCGGUUAGUGAUGGGCAUGCGUUGUAUUAGAUAGUUGGUGAGGUAACGGCUCACCAAGUCGACGAUACAUAGGGGGACUGAGAGGUUAGCCCCCCACACUGGUACUGAGACACGGACCAG